UUUUUUUUUUUUUUUUUUUUUUUUUUUUUUUUUUUUUUUUUUUUUUUUUUUUUUUUUUUUUUUUUUUUUUUUUUUUUUUUUUUUUUUUUUUUUUUUUUUUUUUUUUUUUUUUUUUUUUUUUUUUUUUUUUUUUUUUUUUUUUUUUUUUUUUUUUUUUUUUUUUUUUUUUUUUUUUUUUUUUUUUUUUUUUUUUUUUUUUUUUUUUUUUUUUUUUUUUUUUUUUUUUUUUUUUUUUUUUUUUUUUUUUUUUUUUUUUUUUUUUUUUUUUUUUUUUUUUUUUUUUUUUUUUUUUUUUUUUUUUUUUUUUUUUUUUUUUUUUUUUUUUUUUUUUUUUUUUUUUUUUUUUUUUUUUUUUUUUUUUUUUUUUUUUUUUUUUUUUUUUUUUUUUUUUUUUUUUUUUUUUUUUUUUUUUUUUUUUUUUUUUUUUUUUUUUUUUUUUUUUUUUUUUUUUUUUUUUUUUUUUUUUUUUUUUUUUUUUUUUUUUUUUUUUUUUUUUUUUUUUUUUUUUUUUUUUUUUUUUUUUUUUUUUUUUUUUUUUUUUUUUUUUUUUUUUUUUUUUUUUUUUUUUUUUUUUUUUUUUUUUUUUUUUUUUUUUUUUUU
rnacentral:lncRNA from 1 species